CAAGCGGUGGAGCAUGUGGUUCAAUUCGACGCAACGCGAAGAACCUUACCUGGGCUCGAACGGCUUUGGAACAUCUUUGGAAACAGAGACUUCUCGCAAGAGACCGGAGUCGAGGUGCUGCAUGGCUGUCGUCAGCUCGUGUCGUGAGAUGUUGGGUUAAGUCCCGCAACGAGCGCAACCCUUGUCCUGUGUUGCCACUCCCGUAAGGGAAGCACUCUCAGGAGACCGCCAGCGAUAAGUUGGAGGAAGGUGGGGAUGAUGUCAAGUCAUCAUGGCCUUUAUGUCCAGGGCUACACACGUGCUACAAUGGACGGUACAAAGCGCUGCAAACCCGCGAGGGGGAGCCAAUCGCAAAAAACCGUUCUCAGUUCGGAUCGCAGGCUGCAACUCGCCUGCGUGAAGCUGGAAUCGCUAGUAAUGGCGUAUCAGAACGAUGCCGUGAAUACGUUCCCGGGCCUUGUACACACC
rnacentral:rRNA from 1 species